rnacentral:rRNA from 1 species
UAAUAGUGUAUAUUAAAGUUGUUGCAGUUAAAAAGCUCGUAGUUGAAUGUUGGUGUCGAACGAGCGGUCAGCUUCGGCUGUACUGCUCUCUCGACUCCUUCCUUCUGUGGACUACGUCGCACUUUACUGUGUGGCGCUAGGACGCAGAUCGUUUACUGUGAAAAAAUUAGAGUGUUCAAAGCAGGCCGUACGCUUGAAUACAUUAGCAUGGAAUAAUGGAAUAAGACGUCGGGCCUAUUUUGUUGGUUCUAGGACCGUCGUAAUGAUUAAUAGGGACAGUUGGGGCCGUUUAUAUUCCGUAGUCAGAGGUGAAAUUCUUGGAUUUACGGAAGAUAAACUACUGCGAAAGCAUUCGGCAAGGAUGUUUUCGUUAA